AGCUUUGCGCAGUGGCAGUAUCGUAGCCAAUGAGGUUUAUCCGAGGCGCGAUUAUUGCUAAUUGAAACAUAUGCGCUAUGUACUCUUAAUAUUUCAUAUUUUGUUUUGUUCAUUUUAUUUAAGA
rnacentral:snRNA from 1 species